rnacentral:rRNA from 1 species
CUACCUCCCCUGUUGGUCGUCCGUUGCCCUCCCGAACGUACGUCCGGCCGCGUCGAACACGACUAAUAAGCUAGUCCNCGGUGGGAGUACGGCCACGUAGGUUAGAACUACGAAAGUAUUGGACGGGGCCCGCACAAGCGGUGGAGCAUGUGGUUUAAUUCGAAGCAACGCGAAGAACCUUACCAGGUCUUGACAUCCUUUGACCACCUGUGUUCGCGCUCCCGAAGGCACUCCUGUGUUUCCACUGGAUUCGCGACAUGUCAAGUCCUGGUCGACGCGCCGCGAAUU